GACGAACGCUGGCGGCGUGCUUAACACAUGCAAGUCGAACGGUAAGGCCCUUCGGGGUACACGAGUGGCGGACGGGUGAGUAAUGCGUGAGUAAUCUGCUCUUCACUCUGGGAUAACAGCUGGAAACGGCUGCUAAUACCGGAUAUUCAGCUCCUGUCGCAUGGUGGGGGUUGUAAAGUUUUGGUGGUGGAGGAUGGGCUCGCGCCCUAUCAGCUUGUUGGUGGGGUGAUGGGCUACCAAGGCGUCGACGGGUAGCCGGCCUGAGAGGGCGACCGGCCACAUUGGGACUGAGAUACGGCCCAAACUCCUACGGGAGGCAGCAGUGGGGAAUAUUGCACAAUGGGCGGAAGCCUGAUGCAGCAACGCCGCGUGCGGGAUGACGGCCUUCGGGUUGUAAACCGCUUUCAGCAGGGACGAAGCGCAAGUGACGGUAACUGCAGAAGAAGCACCGGCUAACUACGUG
rnacentral:rRNA from 1 species